CGAAACUGGUUUUCACAAUGAUUUGACAGAUAGAUUUGAUUCUGAGAUCAUUGUGAAAGCUGAUUUUGUUC
rnacentral:pre_miRNA from 1 species